GCUUACGGCCAUACCAGCCUGGGUACGCCCGAUCUCGUCUGAUCUCGGAAGCUAAGCAGCGUCGGGCCUUGUUAGUACUUGGAUGGGAGACCGCCUGGGAAUACCAUGUGCUGUAAGGA
rnacentral:rRNA from 1 species